rnacentral:rRNA from 1 species
CCUACGGGAGGCAGCAGUGAGGAAUAUUGGUCAAUGGACGAGAGUCUGAACCAGCCAAGUAGCGUGAAGGAUGACUGCCCUAUGGGUUGUAAACUUCUUUUAUAUGGGAAUAAAAUGUUCCACGUGUGGGAUUUUGUAUGUACCAUAUGAAUAAGGAUCGGCUAACUCCGUGCCAGCAGCCGCGGUAAUACGGAGGAUCCGAGCGUUAUCCGGAUUUAUUGGGUUUAAAGGGAGCGUAGGUGGAUUGUUAAGUCAGUUGUGAAAGUUUGCGGCCCAACCGUAAAAUUGCAGUUGAAACUGGCAGUCUUGAGUACAGUAGAGGUGGGCGGAAUUCGUGGUGUAGCGGUGAAAUGCUUAGAUAUCACGAAGAACUCCGAUUGCGAAGGCAGUUCACUGGACUGCAACUGACACUGAGGCUCGAAAGUGUGGGUAUCAAACAGGAUUAGAUACCCCAGUAGUC